GCGCACCAGUCGAGAAACUUCACAAUGUGCGAAAGCACGAUGAGGGAAUCCCAAGUGCUUGCACGUAAGUGUAAGCUGUUUCUCUGUCUAAAACGCAGAGAGAGUAAGGGCUGGGUAAGACGGGUGCCAGCCGCCGCGGUAAUACCUGCAGCUCGAGUGGUGACCGUUAUUAUUGGGCCUAAAACGUCCGUAGCCGGUUUAAUAAAUGCCUGGGUAAAUCGGACCGCUUAACGGUUCGAAUUCCGGGUAGACUGUUAAACUUGAGACCGGGAGAAGUUAGAGGUACUCCUGGGGUAGAGGUGAAAUUCUGUAAUCCUAGGGGGACCACCAGUGGCGAAGGCGUCUAACUAGAACGGGUCUGACGGUGAGGGACGAAGCCCUGGGGCGCAAACGGGAUUAGAUACCCGUGUAGU
rnacentral:rRNA from 1 species